GCGCCUGUAGCUCAGAUGGAUAGAGCGACUCCCUCCUAAGGAGUAGGCCGGCCGUUCGACUCGGCCCAGGCGCA
rnacentral:tRNA from 1 species